UAGAACCUUUGAUUCUGAAUUUAAGCAAUUCCUUUGCUUUUUUGUUUGUUUGUUUCUUUAUUAUAUAUUUGUUUGAUUCUUGAGAACGUGUUUUAGAAAUGGCAAGGUACCUGAAGUUUUGGCUUUUAGGUUUCUGGGGUUUGCAAAUGGCAGAAACUUUUUUUUUCUUUUUUGGGUAGGGUGGGGUGUAAUGUUUAUGAUUCAAUAUUAAAGGCGAAAGUUUGAGUAUUACUUGUUUCUAUUUUAGGUGGCAA
rnacentral:lncRNA from 1 species